rnacentral:rRNA from 1 species
AGGGUAGCAAACCGGAUUAGAUACCCGGGUAGUCCUAGCUGUAAACAUUGCCCAUUUGAUGUUGCUUUUCCGUUGAGGGAAGGCAGUGUCGGAGCGAAGGUGUUAAAUGGGCCGCUUGGGAAGUAUGGUCGCAAGACUGAAACUUAAAGGAAUUGGCGGGGGAGCACCGCAACGGGAGGAAUGUGCGGUUUAAUUGGAUUCAACGCCGGAAAACUCACCGGGAACGACCUGUGCAUGAGAGUCAACCUGACGAGCUUACUCGAUAGCAGGAGAGGUGGUGCAUGGCCGUCGUCAGCCCGUACCGUAGGGCGUUCACUUAAGUGUGAUAACGAGCGAGACCCACAUCUUUAAUUGCAAAUGUAUAUGAGAAUAUGCAUGCACUUUAGAGAAACCGCCAGCGCUAAGCUGGAGGAAGGAGUGGUCGACGGCAGGUCAGUACGCCCCGAAUUUCCCGGGCUACACGCGCAUUACAAAGAACGGGACAAUACGUUGCAACCUCGAAAGAGGAAGCUAAUCGCGAAACCCGUCCAUGGUUAGGAUUGAGGGCUGUAACUCGCCCUCAUGAAUCUGGAUUCCGUAGUAAUCGCGGGUCAACAACCCGCGGUG